AGUACCUUGUCCGCUUCAAAGGCAUAUUAAGUGCUAGAUGGUCCCAUUUUUGGGGGUCAUGACCCCCCUGACACCCCCUGAGUCCGUCAACAUAGAUUCUUCUUCAUCCUCCUGUGAUUCAGAACUUGGCGACAUAGAGACAGGUUACAUUCCAAUUGAGACAUGGAUAACCCGAAGAGAAGAAAUUGAGGAUCUGCUGUGUCUUUAGGAGAUGCGGAUAGUAUAUUCAGUGCAAAUAUGUAUCUAGCUACCGACAGCAGGUUUUGGAUUGAUGGAAUUAUAUCACAUUUGAUGGGACGUAUGGUUAAUCCCAAGCCAAAAUAAUCGCAUUUGCUCUUUCCACCUUUAGAAAAAUAUCUGUAUCACCACAUAAACUGUGAACUGCAUAACCACGGACUAGAGGUGUUGAAAGGAAUUGUUCUUAUGGGAACUGCCCUCGAACGGCCAGAAAACAUUCAGCUGAUAAGUACGCUUUUAGAUUUAGGCUGCAAUGUAAAUAGCAAGGACGGAAGAUCACGGAAUAUUCUACAACGAUUGGCCCUUAAGUAUUACCCUUCUAGACCUUAUCUACAAGUAGCACAGCUGAUGGUUAAACGAGGAAUUAAUAUAAACGCGAUAAAUGAUUGUGAUCACACGCCUUUGGAAUAUGCAGUAACGCAAAAAAAUCUAGAAAUGGUGCGUUUUCUUCUGAGAAAUGGACCAACAAGGGUUUUUUAUCAAUAAUUAUCAGAAUAUUGCACAUUAUGCGCUCGAGAAGAAAAGUUUAUCAUUUCUUCAUGCCAUUAUCAAAUUUUAUUUAGUUAGAAAAUCUUAAGGAAAAGAACUGGACGAAAACAUUAUGAAUAAUAGCAAAAGGGAACUUUUUCACAUUUGAUUGAAUGAUUUAGAAUCUCCCAAGCAGAAUAUUGAAUAUAAGAAUAUGUCGCUGUUCGAUAUUCUCUUCAAACCUGAAGAAGAUGUGGUGAAGUACUUCAGGAACAAGAAUGUUGUAUCAGAAGUUCGGGAAAAGAUCAUGGAAAAAUUUGAGUUUAAUUAUGAGCUUGCAGAAAUUCGGGAUAGGUAAUGCUCUAGCUAGAAUAUCUCUCGAAGAUUCAUCUCAAGGAAAGAACAGGCGUAAGAAACAUGUUCAUUGGGAAAAUUGAACGAUCUGAAGAAGCAUAAAAUUAUGGACAAAGACCUUAUUUACAAGUAGCAGAGCAGAUGGUUAAACGAAGAAUAAACAUAAACGCGAUCAAUGAUUAUGAUCAGACGCCUCUGGAAUAUGCAGUUGCUCAAAAUAAUGAAGAACUGGAGCGUUUUCUUCUGAGAAAUGGACCAACAAAGGUGUUUGUCAAAUAUCAGAAUAUUGCACAUUAUGCGGUCGAGAGGAAUAGCAUAUCAUGUCUUCAUGCCAUUAUCAAAUUUUAUUCAGUUAGAAAAUUUCAAGGAAAGGAAGUGGACGAAAAUAUUAUGAAUUUUAUCACAGCGGAGCAGAUUAGCGAACAUUACAACCUUAGUUUGAAGGAUUUAGAAUCCUUGAAGCAUGAUAUUGUGAUAGCAAUGUCUCGCUGUACGAUAUUCUCUUCAAACCUGAAGAAGAUGUGGUGAAGUACUUCAGAAACAAGAACGUUGUAUCAGAGGUUAGGGGAAAAAUCAUGGAAAAAUUUGAGUUCAGUUAUAAGCUUGUAGAAAUUCGGGAUAAUGCUCUAGCUAGAGAAUCUUGAAGAAAAGUGUCAAAAUGAAUUCCUCUUCGUCCCCCGGUGAUUCAGAACCUGGCGACAUAGAGACAGGUUACAUUCCAAUUGAGACAUGGAUAACUCGAAGAGAAGAGAUUGAAGAAAUUCAGUCUGCUGUGUCUUCAGGAGAUGCUGAUAGUAUAUUCAGUGCAAUUAUGUAUCUAGCUACCGACAGCAGGUUUUGGAUUAGUGGAAUUA